rnacentral:misc_RNA from 1 species
CCGAGCGAGGGCCCCCAGCCCGACCUCCAACCCUUUGUUGACCAACACCUGUUGCCUCGGGGGCGACCCGGCCUCCGCGCCGGGGUCCCCGGUGGACCGUUAACGCUGUAUCAGUGCGUCCGAGUACUUUAGCGAAUCAAUCA